AGAACCUGAGGCAUAUUUGACAUCUUACGUUCUUUCCUAAUCACGGUGCUUCUUAAAGAAUAAUAUUACCUGACAAGAUUAUGAAACUCAGAAAGUAAAGCACCGCAUAUUAUAUCACUAUUUAAGGACUCACCUUCUUUCAAAACUCCACCCAGCUCUAUCAAUUUAGGGUAUAAUAUAUGAUGAAUGCAAUCCCUGUUUACGACUCCUAAUAAUAAUAACAAUGCCGAUGCCUUCUACACCAAGAGUGUGGGAUAGUUCAUAGGAAGUGAAUCAUAUACAGUGAAUCCAAUUCCGUACAUAUCAGACUACUUCAGAUAAACUGGCACAAGCACGGAUAUAGUUGCAACUUUAUCAUUGGAGUACUUUUAACUAAAUCAUCCCUUGCACUAUAAGUCAUAAUAACAAAUUACCUUCUUGGUUAUCUUUUGUACAAGUGGUAUUGCAAGUGUUUUCAGAUUAAAAGCUAAGAGAAAACACCUUUAAAGUUAAAUUCUCAAAUUUUUAAUAUUUAAUCAAUGAUGGACAACAAAAACCAAUAUGAUGAUUAAUUCCUAACAACAAUCAAAAGUGCAGAGAGCAGGGAUUUUGAUUCAAGAGCGUAAAGAGCGCCACGUAAGACGCCCGAGAUUUUGCUUUAUAUAGAUAUAAGAUUUGACAUUCUUUAGUAUAAAAUUUUAAAAAUAAUAUUAAUUACAUAUACGUCAAGUGAGUAGCAUGUAAACUAUGAAUUUUUUUUACAAAGUGCUGAAUCGAUCCUCUGUCAUCACACAAACGUAUUAUAUACAUUCCAUUAAAUGGGUUGCCAGCCUUUGGGUUCUUUUGCCUCAUAUCAGCUGCAUGACCACUGGACACAAAGAGUACAUUGGACAUAUAAAGCUUGUUAGAGAGAUAAAGAUUGACUGUCACGAUUUUGCAUAUACUGUAUGAAGUUUGUACAUGUAACAAAUAAUUUUUGUUGUCUGACAAAUAUCAAGCAAAGUGGGAAUUCCGGAAUGAUAAUGUUGGCAUUUCUCGUUGUCCACUUUGAGGCGGGUUUGGUAGAACUACUGUUUUCCCUUGCCAACCUGACAUAAUGAAUUUCAAUAUUUCACGAAUUACAUAUUCUAUGCAUUAAUUAAAAAAUUGACAGAUAUGAGAGUACUUAAAUAUUAAUAUAUGUGCUCUUAGAUAUCACAACAAAUAAAGUUCAUAUGGAAACUUAUAAAAGUAAAUGCACAACAUACAUAUAUAAUUGAUCCCAAUUGCACGAUAGCGCUGAUUCAAAUGGAUCCUCCCUCGAUGUUUUAAUUUAAAUAAGAGGCCAUUUGGAGACAUGCAUUUCAUUUCAAAUGACAAGAUUUAAGUUGUCAUCUCCAACACUCAAAUUUAUACAAAUAUUUGAAUGUCUGGAUUUCAAAUGAAAUCCAAAUCCACAUUCCCAAACAGAUUAUUUGAUCAAAUCCAAAAUUUCAAAUGAAAUCCAAUUUCCCAAACAGGCCAUAAAUGUAAUCCAACAAGAUACAAUAAAAUCUUAUCAACAAUAUCUGGAUUCUUAAUGACCAUUAAUCGUUCAAUUUCGAGAUUAUGGCUUCCCUUUAUCAUCUCUCCAAUAAGAGAAAGUAUUUUCAUAGAUAGAGAUCGAAAUGUGGUUUAGUUUUUCAAUUACCUUCCAUAUUAUAGUACAAGAACAAGGGCGCUCAAAACUAACACAAAUUACCCACUUAUGUUAUGACAAAAUAUUCCGAUACAGCUAACCAACACAACCAAGGGCACAAUAUAUCAUAGGGUUAGUUACCAGCAUUCAAAACCCAUCAAUAAAUCUGACCACGUAUAUGUUCAAAACAGACAACAAAAAAUUCCGAUCAAGGGCACGAUCUAUCAACAGCAUAUAGCCGACCACUACCAGUUGUCACAUAUAUGUUCAAAACGGACCACAAUUAAAUUGCAUUUAGCUAGUCCAUUAAACAAGCCUUUCAUUACAAAGAUCAGAAUUUUACCCAAUCAGGCAGAUCAUUGUUUUGUUUUUCUGGAGCAUCUUCUUCAUUGUUUACUGCAGGAAGAGAUUUGAUAAUUAGUAUAUUUCAAAUUAGAUAAAUUAACUAUUAAACAAUCAGAAUUGAGAAAUCUAGGGUUUAAAACACAAAAUAUAUACCUGUUUUUAGACUUCGAAACAGAUAGCAUCACGAAACGAUUCAGCACUUUACACUCUAGAUACAUACACACACGAUUAUCAUAGAUCGUUGCGGCGAUGCCCUAAUCUAGGCGAUGCCCUAAUGUAAUUGAGAAGCUGCCGCCUUAACCUACACGACGAGUGAUUUUAUACCUAAAAAUAAAUUGGUUUAACUAAAACGCCUGGGCUUUCUUAUGAGAAAUGGACUUUUCUGUGAGUUAUUUUAUACAAGGGGCCGGCUAACCUGUGCCCUCAGGGCACAGGUUAAAAUGUAUUUAAUGCAUCUUGGUGGUAGCUGACAGCUAAUGUGAUUAUAGUUUUUUGUAACAAUACAUUAAUGACUAAUUACAUUCAAAUCAUAUUUGAUAUUUUAUUUAAUCAUAUAUUAUAUUAUAAUUUGAAUUAUUAUAUUUUUUAAGAAUAUUAAAAUAAUAAAAGACUCAUAAAUUUAUUAUUAAAUAUUAGAUUGGCCGAUUUUAGUUAGAGGGCUGAUUUUAAUUUGAAAAUUAGUGUGCAUGCAGGGGGGCCUUGUUAUUAUUUGUGCGAUGAAAUCAAUUAAAAAUUAUCAUAUAAAAUGUGAUAAAAGAAUUAUUCUAUGUUCCCCCAUUUUUUUGAAAUUUAAUAUUAUUUUAUAAUAAAUAUAUAAUUUAGAAGACAAAUAAAAAAUAGAUGUAUAAUUAGUACUUAAUAAAUUUUUGAAUGAUUCUAUACAAAUACACUGAUAACUAUGCAAACACAAGAGUAGUUGACUGUAUUAAUUCCUACUUAUCCUGUGCCCUCAGGGCACAGGUUAGCCACUCCGUUUAUACAAUAUGAGAUCUGUUCCGGUGGAUCCAGACCGUGCCAAAAGAAUCCGGACUUUUCCGGAAUAGAUUAGAUCGGGCUUUUUUAAAAAUCAGGUUGGGAUGGACUUUCUCAAAAAUACUGAGCCUGGUUUACUUAUAAAAAGUCCAAAUUUUUUAAAAAUCCAAAUUUUAUCCAGAUUUUUUUGAAAAUACUAGGCUUGUUUUAGGCCUUCGGAUUGGGCCGUGCCAGCUCGGGUUUUUUUCAUAUAGGUUUUUCAAAUUUUUUCCCCAGAGAUCAAAUAUGUCCUUUUUAGCUUAGGUUAAGUGUCCAAAAUUUGUUCCCAUAUUUUUUCUCAAAUUUAUUCGAUAUUGUGUGAUUGAUUACACAUAUAAUAAUAAAUAUGCACAUAAAUCACCCAGUUAAAAUUCGUUAUAUGUCUGUCAUGUGAUUUGAAAAAAAAUAAAAAAUUUGAGGACGAAUUUUGAGGUAUGUAGUAUUUUUUUCAAACAAAAUGUCAUUGUUAAAUCAAUAACAAGGAAUUUUUAUCCUCUUCAGUUUAUAGCAUAUUUUUAUAAAUUUACAUAUAAUAAUUAUAUUUUUUAUACUUUUAUGAAAUAUAAAGAGUCGUGAAUAUUUUUUGUCAAAAAAUAGUUCUCACCGCAGUUUAACACCCCAUCACAAACAAAAAUAUCACAUGAGUCGAUAUCCACAAAUUAUAGUUAAAUUAUACACAUUUUAACUAGUCUUAAUAAUUUACAAAAAUUAUUUACAAAUUUAUUAUAUAUCAUAAGAUUGAUCCAAGCCAGUUAAGAUAGUUAAGAUGAUUUCGGUAGUAGGUUGAAUAAUAUCAAAUCAUGUUAAAAAAUAACAUAGAAAAUUUUUACGUAUUCAAUCAUAAAUUUUAAAUAGAAAGAACCAUAAUCUAAUUCGGGUAAAUAUUUAUUUGGAUAUCAUUAAUUACAUAUUAUCAAAAAUCUAGUAUUUCGUUUGUAUUUCGAUUUUAUUUGGGUUAAAUUUCCGAUCCACAUAUUUUUUUUAUCAAUUUAAAUCGAUUUUCGAAUUCUAAUCAAAUUUGAUUAUAUUAUAUUUGAUAUUAGUUUUCACGUGAUUCUAAACAGAUUGGUUCAGAUGGGAUUUACAAUAUUAAUUUAUAUGCGAUUCUAAUAAGAUAUUAAUUAUUAUAUAUUGGGGUCAUGUUCAAAAGAGAACCAUUAGAGAGAGAAAACAGAACUUAAGUAUUAGUUAGGGUUAUGCAUCAGAACUUCACAUGCAAAAAUUGUGAAUAUCUAUGUAUUAUAUUUUAAAAUUAUUUUUGAACACACACAACAAUGAAAAAAAACAUAUAUUUAGAUUUAUAUCCUAAAAAUUUAUUUAAAAUUUAGGGUUUUAUAGUUCUAUUUUAAGGUCUGAUCCUUUCUUGAAUGCGACCUUUAUGUAUUAAUAUAAAAAUUUUAUUAUCUCAUUUUUGAUCACUCAAUGAAAUAACAGUACUAACUACAAAAUUUAUGGAUAUAUGUAAACAAGCAAAUUAGCUAAAAUAUCUUUGUUCUUUUCUUUUUCGAAAAGUUUGAUAUUGCCAAAUACAAAAUUUUACAACAUUAUUUGGUGAGAUUUACUUAGAUUAAUAGUUUUGUUGAUUAAUUCACAACACCAAAAUCAUAAUAAUUAAGGUCAUUUUUGACAAUUUAAAAAGCCUUUCAUUUUCUUAAUAUCGGUUAAAACCAACAUUGCCGUGAAUAAAAAUACUAAAUGAUAAAUAUUUGGUAUAGUUGAUACAUUAAUAUACGUGCAGAAAUGAAUGUAUAUACAAAUUUCACUAGAAGAUCAUAUCCAUAGUGGCAUCACUCGUUAGCCUUAUAGAUAUCAAUACAAGGACUCACACGUAUUUGAAAAAACAACUUGUAUCUAAGUUGUACUUCUGAGCAGCUUUGGUUGGGCUGAUUUGCCAAGUUACCUUUCGAAACUUCUUGAUUCCGAAGUUAUAUUUUCCUUGGGCAUUCCAUAACAGCAACAUUCCAAAGACUCGAAGACAGAAAAAAUUGCAGACCUUGCAACUGGGAAUCACUGCCUUUAUUAUCUCCGCUGCUGUUAUCGGCCUCUUGAAUUCUUUUUACAGUAUGUCUUACAGUAUUUUUGGGCAACUAAUCAUCGGCAAGAACAAUUUGUGCUCGACAAACACUGAUUUACUGAGAUAUGAUGGUAUCCCUGACACCUGAGAGUUCAAUAUUUAGGAAGUCGGGUAUCAGUUCGAUAAUUAAUACCUUACUAUAGAAUGCGGAACAGACAGUCUUAAUGAUCUAUAAAGACUUAUACCACACAAAAUUGACAGAGCAAAACAUGACCAUUUACAUUACAGUAUGCAGAGUAAAAUAAUCAAAUUUGUGAAAGAAACAAGGUAGUACGAACUAUGAAGCAAUAAUCCAAUUAUUAUGCAAAGAAACCCAUACAUAAUCUUCUAGUGGAAGACUAUCAACUUAACUGAUACAAAAUCUCAUUCUCAAAAGCCGCUUUAUCCGAAAACCAAUGCAAAAUAUUAAUUCACUCAGAAUCUUCCUGUUACAGGACUGAUUAGACAAGAGUACAGAAAUAUGCCUGUGAGAUAGAGGAAGAGAAAGGAAGGGAGGGAUAGGCUUACUCAUUUAGCUUACGAACAUCAUAUUAAAUCAUACUUCCUAUGUUCUACAACAGUAUUGGUAUAAUUAUUAAAUCAUAUUAGUGUAUAAUAUUUGCGUGCUAUAAAAGUAUUUGUAUUUUUCUACAAAAAUAUUGCAUUAUAAAAUAAUUUUCUACUAUAUUAAUAUAUGUUCCGCAGCAGUAUAACGUAGUAAUAUGUAUUUUUCUAUAAAAAUAUUGCAUUAUAAAAUAAUUUUCUACUAUAUUAAUAUAUGUUCCGCAUCAGUAUGACGUAUUUUCCUAUAAUAAUAUUGUAUAAUAAAAUCAUUUUUAAUUAUAUUAAUAUAUGUUCCGCAUCAGUAUGACGUAUUUUCCUAUAAUAAUAUUGUAUAAUAAAAUCAUUUUUAAUUAUAUUAAUAUAUGUUCCGCAGCAGUAUGACGUAGUAAUUUGUAUUGAAGAUCUUUAACAAAUAUUCUGCAGCAGUACAAGCCUAUAAGUUAUAUGAUUGAAUUAUAUAAUUUUGGAAAGUUUACAUUAAUCAUGGAAUUAAAUAUUGUCAUUUAAUGAAGGUUCUAAGGUUCUAAAAUUAAGAGGUUCUAUGUGGAACCUGACCCUGUAUAUAUAUAUAUAGGGAAGUGCUCAAAUACAAACUAAGUUAGUGUACAAACUACAAACUUAAUAUAAGCCCUUGGAUGAAUCUAAUCCAAUGGCCCCGCAGGGGCAACCACACACCAGUUAAUAUGCACCCUGCCACACAUGAUCCACAGAAUCCCCUCCAUUUUUAAUUUGAAUUUUCCCGUCAAUCGGUGAACUUUUUUUGAAAUCAGAUUUCACUGUAUUUUUGUUCAUCUCCCAACGAUUAAUUUCCAUACCAUAUGUGCUAUAUUCCGAUUUGAUUUAGAGACAUUUUAAUUUUGGUUUGUAGUUUGUACGCUAAGAAGGUUUGUACGAGAGUAAGACCCUAUAUAUAUAGUUAUUGACAUUGAUUUUAGACGAAAAAGGAAAUUGUUUUUGUUUAAACUCUAAUCAAUUUGAUUUUGUUUGUUUAAACUCUAAUCAAUUUGUUUCGUGACAAAUUCAUAUGUCGCAUUCUAGCUUUCUCAUCGGUAUUACAUUCAAUCAUACAGAUUAUUACAAACAUCGUUAAGAUAUUCUAUAUUAUGAAUUAUAUAUUUUGAACAAGCAUCGUUAAGAUUUUCAUCUAUAUUUUUUAUUUCCUUAAAAUUAAUAUAUUUAACUAAUCAUCACUUGCUUGUACAUUCAUCUAACAAUAAAAUGUUUUAUGUCUUCCAUCACUAAGAUCACAAAAACAUCCAACUUCGGCACCUAAACAAAUGCUAUAUAACCCGGAAGAAAAUUGGUCAAUUAUGAACCACUGUUCCAAAAUGCAGAAUCCUGUUUUAACACACACACAAGCUUAUUAUAUACAUUAUACAGGUCAAUAAAUAAACAGACAAAUACUAGAAAUACUUCAAGUAACUUAAUGGUUACUUGAACAUCAUCUAUUUUAAGUCUUUUGAGCCCUGAUCUUACAUAGGAAUAAGAAUAAGACAAUAUGGUUACUAGCAAAUUAGCGGGCCUUAGAUAAUUGUUUUUCAUCAUUUUGGAGCAUCAUCUUCAUUGUUUACUGCAAAUCAUCUUCCUUGUUUACUGCAAAGAAGAAUGUGAAAAUCAGUAACUUUCAUACUAGAAAAUAUAAUAAAUUUCAAGUACAUUAUAACUUAAUUAUAAGCAUACCUUCACCAUUUAUGAGCCAUCCGUCUCCCGGAUAUUAUUAAACAAAACAAUCUUUACGUGAAUAAGACUGUAUUGGGUUUGUUUUAUGGCAGGGUCGGCUAGGAGCUCAGCACAAAAUUCUAGACACCUACAUAGAGCUCGCUGAGGGAAGAUGGAACUCAUCCUUGUGCUUUGGAACAAGGUCGGAAAUUCCUAGAGGUGGUGCCAGCCUCUAGGUUCUUUUACCUCGUCAGCUGCAUAAACACAAACACUGAACACAGGGCACAGUGGACAUAUAAUAUAUCUUAGAAAAAUAAGGACGGAAAUUUCAUAAUUUUGCAUAUAUUGUAGGAAGUGUACAUAUAAAAACCAAUUUUUUUGUUAUACAAAAAUCAAGCGAAAGGUGAGGAAUACCAUCUCGAGAAAUGUUGGCAUUUCUCUUUGUCCACUUGGUGCCAAUUCUGGUAAAAUUAAUUUUAUUCCUUGCCGACCUGACAUAAUAAAUUACAUAUUCUACGCAUUAAUUAAAAAAUUAACAAUUAUGAGAGUACUUCAAUACUAAUUUAUGUCCUUUCAGAUAUCACAAUAAAUAAAGUUCAUACAGAAACCUAUAAACGUAAAUGCACAGGCUACAUACAUAAUUAAUCACAAAUUGCAAGAUAGUGCCGCUUGGAUGCAUCCUCUCAGAGUGUUUUGAAUUAAAUAAAUGUGAUUCAACAAUAUAUAACACAAUAGUAUCAACAAUAUCUGGAUUCUUAAUGCCCAUUCAUUGUUAAUUUUCGAGACUGUUUGGUUUCCCUUUAUUAUCUCUAUCCAACAAGCAAUGGUAUCUAAUAACAAUAGAAAGCUUUCCAUAGACAUACAGAAAUCAAAAAGCAGUUUACUUUUCUAAUUAACUUCUACAUUAUACUACGAGAAAUAGGGUGCUCAAAACUAACACAAAAUAGUAUCACAAUAUCUGGAUUCUUAAUGCCCAUCCAUUGUUAAUUUUCAAGACUGUUUGGUUUCUCUUUAUUAUCUCUAUCCACCAAGCAAUGAUCUCUUACAACAAUAGAAAGCUAAAGUAUUUCCAUAGACAUACAGAAUCAAAAAAUAGUUUCCUUUUCUAAUUAACUUCUACAUUAUACUACAAGAAAAAGGGUGCUCAAAACUAACACAAAAUAUUCCAAUACAGCUAACCAACACAAUCACGAUAUGUUCAAAACAGACCACAAUUACCAAAGGUCGUUCAAAACUAAUCACAAAUUACCCUGAUCCAGUGACAAAAUAUUCCGAUACAGCCAACCAACACAAUCAAGUGCACGAUCAAUCAUAAAUAUUCCGAUACAGCUAACCAACACAAUCAAGGGCACGAUCUACCAAUUAUCACAUAUAUGUUCAAAACAGACUACAAUCAUAUGAGAUUUAGCUAGUCAAUUAAACAAGCUUUCAUUACAGAUCAGAAUUUUACCCACCAGGAGAAGUUCUUAAGUGCACAAUGUCAUCAAUGUCGUCCUCAUCAUCAAUCCACCCGUAACAAGGCCUGCGUCGUUUCCUUGGAAUAGUUCCGCCUGGUGCUUGUGGAGGGAGGAUGGCCAGGGAAAGCUCGGUGUUAGUAUUACCGAGGUUGACAUCUGAGCUGAUAACAGGGGCCAUAAGAUUAACAUCACGUCCACGGGACGCUUCCAUACCUUCACCAUGGAGAACAACAUUCUCAUCAUUCUAUGUGUGUGGUGACUAAUAUCAUAUUACAUUCUGCAAUUUAAAAUUUUGCUAUCCUGACCUUUAUGUAAUAACAUUGUUUCACCAUAAAGUCAAUAUGAUUGUAUCAUACAAAUAUUGGCGAGGCAUAAACUCAACUUAUUUUUCUUAAACGAGAUGAUAAUUCUUAUAGUGUACCUGUAUUGUCAGAAUUUUACCCACUGAGGCAGCAAUAGAACAAAGUUUUGUUUUUCUGGAGCAUCUUCUUCAUUGUUUACUGAAACAAAAAAAGCAAAAUUAGCGAGUUUCAUAUCAGAUAAAUUAGCUAUAAAACAAUCGGAAUUGAGAAAUCUAGGGCUUAAAAACACAAAAUAUAUACCUGUUUUUGGGCUUCGAAACGGAUCACAUAAUGAAUUUGAAACAUCGAUCCAGCGAUUCAGCACUGAAUUAUGAAUACACUCAAACACACACGAUUAUUAUCGAUCGACGCGGCGUGCCCUAGUCUAAUUGGGAAGCCGCCGCCUUAACCUGCACGAGGAGGAGUUUACAGGUGAUUUUAUACCUAAAACAUAUGGGCUAGGGUUUCUUAUGAAUAAUCUAAAUGGGCUUUUUUAAGUGAUGGGCUAGGGUUUAAUCUGAAUAAUCGGAAUGGGUUUUUUUUAAGUGAUGGACUGUUAUUGUGAUUGUUCAUAAACACGUUUGACUGUUUUUAUUUUGAAUUAGAUGAUGGUGAAAAGCUUCGUGGCGAUAUAUACUGAUUUUCUUCACUAAAUCAUGGAUCAAGUUCUCCGUAGUUUAAAAUUUUUAAAAAUGUUGAAAGUUUUGAUAUUUAAGCAAAUUUAUUUUAAAAUAUAUGAUAAUAAGUCCAUUUAUAAAAAAAUAAUNUCCGUAGUUUAAAAAUUUUAAAAAUGUUGAAAGUUUUGAUAUUUAAGCAAAUUUAUUUUAAAAUAUAUGAUGAUAAGUCCAUUUAUAAAAAAAAAAUUUAAAUUUAAAUUUUAAUAUUAAAAUAUGUAUUAUAGUCUCGGAAAAAAAUAUGAUCAUAGUCUCGGAAAAAAAAGUAAGUCUUUUUCUAUAUCAAAAUAUUUGAAAUGAAUUUUUAAAUUCUAAUUUGAUAUUUAUUAAUGUAUGCAGUUUUUAUUUUUGAUAUAUUGAAAAAAGUAGUUUUGAAACUUUCCUCCAAUAUAUCCGAAACUGAAAAAGGUAAUUUUUAUUUUUGAUAUUUACAAAAUUAAAAAUAUAAUUCGAAACUUUCUUCCAAUAAUUUUGAUACAGAAAAAGGUAGGUAGAUUUAAUUUUUGAUAUACUGAAAAUGAUAGUUCUACAACUUGCUUCUAAUAUACCCGAAACUAAAAAAAGUAGUUUUUAUUUUUGAUAUUUUUCAUCCAAAAAUUUCAGAAAAUUGGAGGAAAAAAAGUAAGUUUUUUUCCAUAUCAAAAUAAUCGAAAAGAAAUUUCAAAUUCUGAUUUGAUAUUUAUUAAGUUAGUUUUUAUUUUUGAUAUAUAGAAAAAUGAUGUUUUGAAACUUUCCUUCAAUAUCCGAAAUUGAAAAUGGUGAUUUUUAUACAAAAAAAAAAAUGUAGAUAGGUAGAUUUUANNNNNNNNNNNNNNNNNNNNNNNNNNNNNNNNNNNNNNNNNNNNNNNNNNNNNNNNNNNNNNNNNNNNNNNNNNNNNNNNNNNNNNNNNNNNNNNNNNNNNNNNNNNNNNNNNNNNNNNNNNNNNNNNNNNNNNNNNNNNNNNNNNNNNNNNNNNNNNNNNNNNNNNNNNNNNNNNNNNNNNNNNNNNNNNNNNNNNNNNNNNNNNNNNNNNNNNNNNNNNNNNNNNNNNNNNNNNNNNNNNNNNNNNNNNNNNNNNNNNNNNNNNNNNNNNNNNNNNNNNNNNNNNNNNNNNNNNNNNNNNNNNNNNNNNNNNNNNNNNNNNNNNNNNNNNNNNNNNNNNNNNNNNNNNNGAAUUUGAAACAUCGAUCCAGCGAUUCAGCACUGAAUUAUGAAUACACUCAAACACACACGAUUAUUAUCGAUCGACGCGGCGUGCCCUAGUCUAAUUGGGAAGCCGCCGCCUUAACCUGCACGAGGAGGAGUUUACAGGUGAUUUUAUACCUAAAACAUAUGGGCUAGGGUUUCUUAUGAAUAAUCUGAAUGGGCUUUCUUUAAGUGAUGGGCUAGGGUUUAAUCUGAAUAAUCGGAAUGGGCUUUUUUUAAGUGAUGGACUGUUAUUGUGAUUGUUCAUAAACACGUUUGACUGUUUUUAUUUUGAAUUAGAUGAUGGUGAAAAGCUUCGUGGCGAUAUAUACUGAUUUUCUUCACUAAAUCAUGGAUCAAGUUCUCCGUAGUUUAAAAAUUUUAAAAAUGUUGAAAGUUUUGAUAUUUAAGCAAAUUUAUUUUAAAAUAUAUGAUGAUAAGUCCAUUUAUAAAAAAAAAAUUUAAAUUUAAAUUUUAAUAUUAAAAUAUGUAUUAUAGUCUCGGAAAAAAAUAUGAUCAUAGUCUCGGAAAAAAAAGUAAGUCUUUUUCUAUAUCAAAAUAUUUGAAAUGAAUUUUUAAAUUCUAAUUUGAUAUUUAUUAAUGUAUGCAGUUUUUAUUUUUGAUAUAUUGAAAAAAGUAGUUUUGAAACUUUCCUCCAAUAUAUCCGAAACUGAAAAAGGUAAUUUUUAUUUUUGAUAUUUACAAAAUUAAAAAUAUAAUUCGAAACUUUCUUCCAAUAAUUUUGAUACAGAAAAAGGUAGGUAGAUUUAAUUUUUGAUAUACUGAAAAUGAUAGUUCUACAACUUGCUUCUAAUAUACCCGAAACUAAAAAAAGUAUUUUUUAUUUUUGAUAUUUUUCAUCCAAAAAUUUCAGAAAAUUGGAGGAAAAAAAGUAAGUUUUUUUCCAUAUCAAAAUAAUCGAAAAGAAAUUUCAAAUUCUGAUUUGAUAUUUAUUAAGUUAGUUUUUAUUUUUGAUAUAUAGAAAAAUAUAUAUAGUUUAAACUUUAAACCUCAUUCAUCUUUGUAUCACCAUCAAAAUGAGAUCAUUCAUCUUUUUAUCACCGUCAUAAUUAACUUUGGAAGAUAUAAAGUUCUCAUAUUGACUUGCAUGGGAAACUGGGAGCUCAUACUAAGACUCCUAUAUUCUUUUACAUUUGUAAAACUAGGAGGGGUGUAUUGGAUUGGGAUUUUAAAGCAUUUUUUUGCAUUCAUGAAAUCCGAGGGUAUUCGAUUGGGAUUGUUUGAAAUCCAUUAAAAUCUUGAGGUAUUCAAUUGGGAUUUUAAACUAUGCUACAAAAUCUAGUGGUAUUCAAUUGGGAUUUUAAAUUAUGCUUUAAAAUCCGAUGGUAUUCAAUUGGGAUUGUUUAAAAUCCAUUAAAAUCUGAUGGUAUUCAAAUGCUGAUGGAUUUUUUUUCAUUUCAUAAAAUGAUGGAUUUUGUGGCAUUCUUCAGUGUAUUUCAAGUUUUUUGAAAUCCCACCAAAUUCAAUGAGAUUUUGAAGCAUUGUACCUAAAUUCUAUCAACUCUGCGACAUUUCAUCAAGAAUCCGCAAAAAAUCAAAAUCCCAUACAAUCCAUUAAAAUCCAUAGACUAAAAACAAUGCAUUAAAAUCCCAAUCGAAUACACCCCCAUAGGUGUGAAGACCACGCGUCAGGAAAAACAUUUUUCGGGAGCACAUUAUCAAAACAAAUAAGCUGUUUGUUUAUAAUCUUAAAUAACAAUAUUAGUUGUUAUAUUAUCAUUUUUAUCACAAGUUCCCAAACUGCUUGCAAGUUGGGAAAGUUUCCUGAAAAGGAAUCUGUUCUGCUUUUCUUCCAAGUAUUAUAUCACACUCUCAUUCUUUCAUUUUCAUGUCAGCAAUAACAAUGGAAAAUAUGCUUUGGCAAUACUGAUACCAUUCAAGCUGAGGUGUACCAGAGUAGAUAAAUUCAAUAACCAACCAAAUAUGCCACCUUGUAGAAUACCAGUGUGGCCGAGAUUAAGCUGCUGUAAUUUGAAAAGAUUACCAAGCUGAUGUUGAAUGGCUCCAGAAAAAAGGUUAUCAAAGAUCGAGGUAUGUGAAGCUGGUGAAAGAAGGAAUGAAAAAAAAAUAAAAAACUUUAAAAUUGCAAAUUUAAACUUUUACAUUAAAGAUAACACAUUUGUCUAAAAGUUGAGAACCAAAUGAAUAGCAGCUUAUACAAUAUCUUAAUCAAGACAAGACAAUUUUUGUCCACCAUUAUCCUACAAUUUGCAAAGCCUCAAAGGCUGCUCACACUAAAAGAAGUCCCAAAACAUUUCAUAAAUUUUUAAGUUAAAGUAGUUGAAGUACAUCCUCUGUUUUCUCUGAGCAAACAUCCUCUUUUGUAAUUGGAUUUUAAAGGUGUGCUCUAUCUCUCGCUUUCACAGAGCAUUUCUCUCAGUAAUACAACGGCCUCCAUAACAGAAAAUUCUUUCAUCCAUUUGGCCACCCCUUCGCCAAAUUUGUCUGCCCAAUAUAUUUCGGAUCAAUGGCCAUAAAAAUCUUUACGCAACUCCUAAAACCAUCUUCGAAGGCCUCUUUUAUUUUUUUGUUUCUCAACAGCUCAAUUGUUGGCCCUGUCGAGUGACGCCAAUGCAAGAACAUCCUUGAAAGCUCACAGGCCUAGAACUGAAAACAAUCUUAUAAAUAAAAAGAUAUUCUUUAAAACAUUAAACUUUAUCUCUACAAGAAUAGUCUAUAUCUAUGUGUAAUCACAAUUUAUUACGAUUACGAACUAACAAUAUAUAAGCAGACAAACUUAGGCACAUCGUCAUAGAAUGAACAACAAAGUUAUACAACUUAUUUAAAAACAUCAGUUGGGAAAAGCAGUAUAAAGAGGUAGAGACUUGGUGGCCUCAGAUAAAGGACGUUGUGCGAAUAUAACCUGGCUUUCUACUUGCUGGCACCAUAGUGGUGAAUUGAGCCAUUUCUCACCAAAAUCUUACUUGCAAAUUUGCUAGCUAUUAAUACAUUUAAUGGUUGAAUAUUCUUUAUUAGAUUGUAUUCUAAUAAUUAACUUGUGUUUUAUCCUUUAUUAUACAUAAAGAUAUAUAAUAUUUAGAAGUAAUUUCUGAAAAUUCCAUUGACUCCUGUUUCACACUGUGCCCACUUACAGGACUUGUUCUAGGGAAAGUGACUUGUGCCUCCAAGCAUUUCAAGCUCAAACUGUGAAGCCCAAAUAAUAUAGCAGGCAAGUAGCUUACUAUAUGUAGCAGUAAAGACAAAGACAAUGCUACUAUGCCGGAAAAAAUUGCAAGGGCACUCGCAAAGGAUCAGAUAUACCUAAUGCAGAAUAACCCGAAGGAGGAAGUUCAUUAUUCACCUCGAUACUCAGUUAACAGUUUUUAACUUAUAGAAAACCAACAACUUCAAGCAGAAAAAGAUCAGGUAGAGCAAUAGUAGCUAGUUGAUGCAAAAAUUAAAUGCCUCAAAGAGUCUGAUACGAAGUUAGUUAAGUGUGUGGCUGUGUGCAUAUGUGGAGAGAGUUACCAUAGCAUAUAGCAAGGAUAAAGAAGCUUAUCAAUUCAUUCUAUCAAGCAAUAAUAAUUCAGCUUACCUGAAUUCAUAAGCGGAAGUACAAAGAAAAGUUCAGAGAGUCCCACGAGAGAAUGAAUCGUGUCUGAACUGAUUGCCCAUACAAGAUCUCCCUGAAAAGAAGAUUGAAGUCCGAGAAAUGACACAAUAAAUGAGAAGAUUUCUAUCAUAAAUCACAAGUGCUUGUAAAAUAAAAUUGCAUGUGGAAUGACUAAGCUGCAACUACGUAUUACCUUGAGCUGCAAAAACAUUUCAUAUGUGAAUACAAGAAACAAAUGACAACUAUUAUUAGCAAGGCAUGAACACACAAGUCCCCUUAAAAUAAGUUGAAAAAAAUAAUCACCACCUGUGGAAUGUAACGAUGGCUCUUGCGCUUAGGUUGGUGAACUGCUGCUGAGGAGCAGUCACUUAGAACAGUCUCCACUUGCGCUGGAGGUUUGUUUUUGAGCAUACAGCUGGAUGCCUGGAUUUUCCUCACCUUUCCUUGCCUCUGUCAAAUCUAAGACUUUAUCCUAAUCAUCACCGAUUAAAAAAUCAAAAUCCACGAUAAAUUAAGCAUCAAAACCCUAAUGAAACACAGACACCAAUUCAAAUACACAUAGAAAUUGAUAAAGACAACGAACUGCGCAUACAUAAAAAUCUGCUGCUAUGCUCUCCGGAUAAAUCAGAAGGAGAUAACUGCCCACGACUAUGAUCAUAUAACAUAAAUCAACCCUGAAAAUCAGCAAGAAUAACAUACAUACCCGCUUUGACCCUCUAGCUGAAUCCGUCAUAUUCAUGCCGAUCGGCUUUCCCCGGUGUGAAAAGAUUGUCCAGAGAAGGCCAUUUAUAAGUAAAUCUCUGAGGAGGCACAGAGACCUCGGUUACGGAGCGGGUAACUGAAGUGCCUGUCCAAGUCCCAGGCUGAACAUAACCGCUAGGCAAGCUGAGAGAAAAUAUAAAAGAAAUAGACAAAAGUGCAGAGAGCAGGGAUUUUGAUUCAAGAGCGUAAAGAGCGCCACGUAAGACGCCCGAGAUUUUGCUUUAUAUAGAUAUAAGAUUUGACAUUCUUUAGUAUAAAAUUUUAAAAAUAAUAUUAAUUACAUAUACGUCAAGUGAGUAGCAUGUAAACUAUGAAUUUUUUUUACAAAGUGCUGAAUCGAUCCUCUGUCAUCACACAAACGUAUUAUAUACAUUAUAUAGGUAAAUAAAUAAACAGACAAAUAUAAAAACUACUUGAGUAACUUAGAUUUUAAGUCUUUUGAGCAUUGAUGUUACAUAGAAAUAAGAAUAAGACAAUAUGGUAAGGAAUACAUUGGUAGGUUCAACUACUUGGAAAAAAAUCAUCUACAUUGCCAGCUUUUAACUUAGUUCUUGCAAUUUCAAAAGUUCCCGAUAUGUCGCGUUGCUUUAUCUUCAACGAAAUAACCAAGUAGACAAGCAGCAGCUUCUUAAUAGCAGAUAAGUAGCAGAUUAGCCAGCCUUAGUUACUGUUUUCCAUCUUUUUGGAGCAUCAUCUUCAUUGUCUACUGCAAGAAGAAAUUUGAAAACCAGUGAAUUGAAUACUAGAAAACUUAAUAGAUUUUUCAAGUACAUUAUAACUAUAUAACAAGCAUACCUUCACCAUCUCUGAGCCAUACGUAUCCCGGAUAUUAAACAAGAUAAUCUUCACGUGAAAAAGAUUGUACUGAGUUUGUUUUACAAUACCUCAAAGUGUGUACGAAAACAUACCUUUAAAAAGAAGUAAAGAUAUAUCACAAACUAAUAACUUUCAACCAAACUAUACAAUAUACUACGACAGAAAGUUUAAUACUCCCUCUGUCCCGGUUACAUUUUAACCGACUUUGACUUUUUAACACGUAUAUUGAGAUGCAAAAAAAUAAUAUCUACACUGAAUAAAAAAAUUCAAUUCUUAUACCAAAUAAUAGUUUAGAUUCUAAACGUUUAAUUGAUAUGAAUUUUAUAAAGAAUUAUUAUGUUUACAUGUGAUUUUCCUAACACCUUAAAAUACAUGUAAAAAAGUCAAAAGCAGUUAAAAUGAGACGGAGAGAGCAUAUAGAACAAGAUAUUUGUGUGCACAUAAAGUCUCUUACCUCAACAAUAUUUCCUCUAGGAAGGCCGACACCCAAUGCAAUGUCCAAUGUCAGACAACCACUUGGAAAAGAGUCACUGCAGUAGACCAAAUUGGAGAACAGGGCAAUUUGUAAGUAAUGAAAACUGAGAGUGUGUGCUUGUUCAUUUCUAUCGAAGUGAUUUAAAGAAAGAUAAGGAAAAGUUCACAUUGCAGACAGAACAUUCGAAAUUUCGAACAGCGUUUAUUAAAUGCAAAUAGAAUUGGAAGAAGUCUACAUUAAUAGUAUUUGAACACAUACACAAGAGAUCCACCAGCAUUGCCUAAUCUUGUUACAGCUCCUUUUCCAAAUGAGUUAUUAAUGUCAUUCAUAGCUGCUUCCAAUGCUUUCGCCUGUAACAAAAUAUUUACAUCAAAUAUGGACAUUAGAUUAGUUUUGAUUAUGGUCCAUGAAAUAAAUUGUAACAUUCCUCAUUUCCACAUUGUUUGACUUAUGAGCUAAUUUAUUUUUAGACAUCCAUCUUCUUCUUGAAUUGUAUAAUAUCCUAUCAAGUUGAUUAAUCCAAGAACUGUAGUCUGUAGGUGUUUCCCAUAAGAACCUGAGGCAUAUUUGACAUCUUACGUUCUUUCCUAAUCACGGUGCUUCUUAAAGAAUAAUAUUACCUGACAAGAUUAUGAAACUCAGAAAGUAAAGCACCGCAUAUUAUAUCACUAUUUAAGGACUCACCUUCUUUCAAAACUCCACCCAGCUCUAUCAAUUUAGGGUAUAAUAUAUGAUGAAUGCAAUCCCUGUUUACGACUCCUAAUAAUAAUAACAAUGCCGAUGCCUUCUACACCAAGAGUGUGGGAUAGUUCAUAGGAAGUGAAUCAUAUACAGUGAAUCCAAUUCCGUACAUAUCAGACUACUUCAGAUAAACUGGCACAAGCACGGAUAUAGUUGCAACUUUAUCAUUGGAGUACUUUUAACUAAAUCAUCCCUUGCACUAUAAGUCAUAAUAACAAAUUACUUGCCAACAAGUUAGAAUCUCCAGAAUGCACCAUUCCAAAUAACUAAAAUAAGAGCAAAAUUAUAUACUUCAACAACUAAUUAACGACCAAAAAAUUAUGGCUAGGAACAGAACACAGUAAACAGAAUACACAAAAUAACAAAUAUAUAUCACAUUUCCACAAUAACAAUUAACAUAAGCUGAUUACAUUACCGUAAAAAAACACAUAAAACCCUUCCAACUCUAAUAUACUUCUACUUCUAUCCCUAUCAAACAAC
rnacentral:lncRNA from 1 species